AUUUUCUGAUGUGCUUCCCACUGGUCGGUUAGACGAAAACAAUAUGGCUGCGGGAAACUCGUGGUGUCAAAAGUUUUGUUCCUGAUUUUAUGAUUCUUAAGUGAUUAAUUGAUCGACGCUUUAUUAGUUUUUAAUAUUUGUUCAAAAUGUUCCAAAUUUUAUGAUUAAUUCAGAGCAAUAACUUAACCUUUCGGAAUUUUUUUUCGCCUGGUUUGGCUCUCGGACAAAAUAGUGAUACACUGGCCUCUCUUUCGCCGCUUUCUUGACAACACAUGCAGCUUCUUUCCAUUUGCCAAAUUUUUGAUCCAGACACCUGUAGAAACAGGUAACUACUGCAACGUCCUCUACAUGCAUAACUGGGAAUUGGUUUUGGAACACAUCCAGGAUAUUGUAAAAAGUGGAUAACUGGAGUUGCUUGACAUUCAUCAACACCUAUAAUUGCUUUCGCUGUUUCAUUUAGCAGGCAUAUUAAUACACUGGCACCUACUACAUAAUCUAGUACUUAACUGUGCUUAAAGAUUGUGCGCUCUAUCCUUUUAUACUCUGUGGGUAAGCAUGUUUCUCCCCUUCUAUGAUUGUGUUAUGUUAUAAUAACACAAAUAAAGGGAUCAAGUAUAUAGAAAUGCUAUUAAAGAAUAAGUGUUUCCUU